rnacentral:rRNA from 1 species
AUUGAACGCUGGCGGCAGGCCUAACACAUGCAAGUCGAGCGGAUGAAGGGAGCUUGCUCCUGUAGCCAGCGGCGGACUGGUGAGUCAUGCCUAGGACACUGCCUGGGAGUGGCUGAUAACACCCGGAAACGGGCCCUAAUACCGCAUACGUCCUGAGGCAGAAAGUCGGGGAUCUUCGCACCUCACGCUAGCCCAUGAGCCGAUGUCGGAUUCGCUAGUUGGUGGGGUAAAGGCUUACCAAGGCGACGAUCCGUAACUGGUCUGAGAGGACGAUCAGGCACACUGGAACUGAGACACGGCCCAGACUCCUACGGGAGGCAGCAGUGGGGAAUUUUGGACAAUGGGCGCAAGCCUGAUCCAGCCAUGCCGCGUGCGUGAAGAAGGUCUUCGGAUUGUAAAGCACUUUAAGCUGGGAGGAAGGGCAGUAAGCUAAUACCUUGCUGUUUUGACGUUACCAACAGAAUAAGCACCGGCUAACUUCGUG